rnacentral:misc_RNA from 1 species
CAUUCUUUGUGAAUUUAUAAUUUCAGAUUACACAUACAUAAUGUUUCUGUGGCUUUUAGCCGGAUUUUUUGUUCUUUUGUGGAUUUAUUUAAGAAGAAACUAUGGAAAACUUGAAAAGUGUGGUAUACCUGUUAUCCCUCCUUUCCUGUGUUUUGGGAGUGGACCAUGGGCACUGCAUAAAUAUCAACUAGCAGAGUUGGAUGAGAAGAGAGUUGCCAAGUAUGGGAAAGUGUUUGGAGCAUAUAUUCUAAGCCAGCCUAUGGUGUAUGUAGCAGACGCUGAUAUUAUCAAGCAAAUUACUACAAAGGAUUUUGAAAGCUUUCAUGGCCAUCUUUUCAAAUUUGGAGACCAAAAGUUUCGCACCCUGGAUAUUGCGGAUGGGGAGGAAUGGAGAGAACUGAGAAAAGGUAUGUCACCCAUCUUCACAUCUGGAAAGAUCAAAGGCAUGUUGCAGUACGUGAACUGCACAUUGGAUAACAUGAUGGAGCACCUGGAGAAGAGAGUGAAGGAGGACCCAGUUAUAGACCUGAAACCUGUGUUCCAAAAGAUGACAAUGGAUGUGAUUGGAAAAUGUGCAUUUGGAAUAGAAAUUAACUGUUUUGAAGGAAACACUGAUCUGCUGCGACUAGGAAAUGGAGUCUUAGAAGGAUUCAAAGUCAAAAAUGCAAUGGAUGCUUUCUUCAUGAAUAUCUUUUUGGGAUUAUCCGGCAUAGAAAACUAUCUAGAUAUGGUUCCUCCAGAAAUGAAAGAAUUGUGGAAAAUAUUCAAAAAUAUUGAAAAUGGAAGAAAAGUACCUAAUGGGGAUUUUAUUGAUAAAAUGGCAGAAAUGAAAAAGCAAGUUCAGAAUGGCGAAUUAAAACAUCUAAGCGAAGAUCAAAUUACAAGUCAAUCCAUAAUUUUUCUUAUUGCUGGAUAUGAAACUACAGCAAGUACUCUUGGAGCGUUGUGCUAUCAACUUGUGAAAAACACUGAGGUUCUAGAAAAGCUAGUUGCUGAGAUUGAUCAAGUUCUGGAGGAGUUUGAUGGAAAGCUUGAUCAUGAAACUGUUGCUGAGAUGCCAUACCUGGAGGCCUGUGUAAAGGAAACACUCAGGUUUUCUUCUCCAGUAUCAAGAAAUGACAGAAUUUGCAACAAAGACUUUGAAUACAAGGGUAUAAAAAUACCAAAGGGUACAGGUAUUGGAAUAUGCGCUCAAGUUGUACACUUUGACCCAGAGUACUGGCCUGAACCCUACAUGUUUAAACCAGAACGGUUUCUCAAAGAGAAUGCUGGUAGCAUAGUUCCUUGUUCAUGGCUGCCCUUUGGAUCUGGUCCCAGAGCAUGCAUUGGAGAGAGAUUUGCUAUGAUUGAGAUAAAAAUGGGAACUGUUCGACUUCUUUCCAAAUAUAAGAUAGAAAUAGACUCUAAAACAAGGUAUCACGUUGAUAAAGGAGAGGUUUUCUUGGCUCUCUACACAGACAUGUUCCUCAAAUUAACAGAACGUUAAUUUCCUCAUAAAUGGCACUUUCAAACAUGUUUUGUUCUUCACAAUUAGUUUUAAAAUGAUUCAUGACUUCUACAGGGGUAAUUCAAUAUCUGAAAAACUGUAUGAUUUUAAGAUCCUAUGAUUUAGUUAUUCUUUUUUGAACAAUGUGUUUAAAAAAUCCCAACUCUUUUGAUUGUAAUUUCAAGAGAUAAUUGAGGUAAUUUAAAAAAAACGUAACUUUUGGAACAAGGCCCAAAUUUCACUAAGAAUAUUCCUUUGGUAAAAUAACAGAGUCGAUGGCAAUACUCAAUUGGUCUCUGAUCAUUGGCUGAAAAUACUGCUUGCUUCUUAUUGGUUGAAGAAAAGCAUCCCGCCAAGGAGAAUGGACCAUUUACAUGAACCCCAUUCAUGACUUGUAAAAAAUACCCUAAUAUUAAAAGAAAAUAUAUGAAAAAUGGGA